rnacentral:rRNA from 1 species
GUGAGGAAUUUUCCGCAAUGGGCGAAAGCCUGACGGAGCAAUGCCGCGUGAAGGAUGAAGGCCUAUGGGUUGUAAACUUCUUUUCUCAGAAAAGAAUUAUGACGGUACCUGCAGAAUAAGCACCGGCUAACUACGUGCCAGCAGCCGCGGUAAUACGUAGGGUGCAAGCGUUAAUCGGAAUUACUGGGCGUAAAGCGUGCGCAGGCGGCUUUGUAAGACGGAUGUGAAAGCCCCGGGCUCAACCUGGGAAGUGCAUUCGUGACUGCAAGGCUAGAGUGUGUCAGAGGGAGGUGGAAUUCCGCGUGUAGCAGUGAAAUGCGUAGAGAUGCGGAGGAACACCGAUGGCGAAGGCAGCCUCCUGGGAUAACACUGACGCUCAGGCACGAAAGCGUGGGGAGCAAACAGGAUUAGAAACCCCUGUAGUCC